AUUGAACGCUGGCGGCAGGCCUAACACAUGCAAGUCGAGCGGAGCGGCGGACGGGUGAGUAAUGCCUAGGAAUCUGCAUGUGAGUGGGGGAUAACGUCCGGAAACGGGCGCUAAUACCGCAUACUCUCAGAUGAGCCUAGGGCGGAUUAGCUAGUUGGUGGGGUAAAGGCAUACAAAGGCGACGAUCCGUAACUGGUCUGAGAGGAUGAUCAGUCACACUGGAACUGAGACACGGUCCAGACUCCUACGGGAGGCAGCAGUGGGGAAUAUUGGACAAUGGGCGAAAGCCUGAUCCAGCCAUGCCGCGUGUGUGAAGAAGGUCUUCGGAUUGUAAAGCACUUUAAGUUGGGAGGCGUUACCAGCAGAAGAAGCACCGGCUAACUUCGUGCCAACAGCCGCGGUAAUAC
rnacentral:rRNA from 1 species